ACUCCUACGGGAGGCAGCAGUGGGGAAUAUUGCACAAUGGAGGAAACUCUGAUGCAGCGACGCCGCGUGAGCGAAGAAGGACUUCGUUUCGUAAAGCUCUGUCCUAUGGGAAGAUAAUGACGGUACCAUAGGAGGAAGCCCCGGCUAACUACGUGCCAGCAGCCGCGGUAAUA
rnacentral:rRNA from 1 species